rnacentral:sRNA from 1 species
UACACAGCAUUCACAGUUGCAGUCACACGGUGGAGAACUAGAUUUAGAAUAGAAAUGAACAAAGCAGAUAAUGAUGCAGGUAAUGCUGCUAUAGACUCACUGCUGAAUUAUGAAACUGUGAAGUUAUUUUUAUAUAUUUUGUAGUAUUUUAAUAAUGAAAGAUAUGAAGCACAGAGAUAUGAUGGAUUUUUGAAGACGUAUGAGACUGCUUCAUUGAAAAGUACCUCUACUCUGGCUAUGCUGAACUUUGGUCAAAGUGCUAUUUUCAGUGUCGGUUUAACAGCUAUAAUGGUGCUCGCCAGUCAGGGAAUUGUGGCAGGUACCCUUACUGUUGGAGAUCUAGUAAUGGUGAAUGGACUGCUUUUUCAGCUUUCAUUACCCCUGAACUUUCUGGGAACUGUAUAUAGAGAGACUAGACAAGCACUCAUAGAUAUGAACACCUUGUUUACUCUACUCAAGGUAGACACCCGAAUUAAAGACAAAGUGAUGGCAUCUCCCCUUCAGAUCACACCACAGACAGCUACCGUGGCCUUUGAUAAUGUGCAUUUUGAAUACAUUGAGGGCCAGAAAGUCCUUAGUGGAAUAUCCUUUGAAGUCCCUGCAGGAAAGAAAGUGGCCAUUGUAGGAGGUAGUGGGUCAGGGAAAAGCACAAUAGUGAGGCUAUUGUUUCGCUUCUAUGAGCCUCAAAAGGGUAGCAUUUAUCUUGCUGGUCAAAAUAUACAAGAUGUGAGCCUGGAAAGCCUUCGGAGGGCAGUGGGAGUGGUACCUCAGGAUGCUGUCCUCUUCCAUAAUACUAUUUAUUACA